rnacentral:lncRNA from 1 species
GGAUUCGAUAACUGACUGAGCUAAAGGUCGGAUGGAGUCUGAUGAUGUGGCACCACUUCACCUCGGGCUCUUGGGUUUGCCCCUGACACCCAAGGUGGUCUCACAGGAUUAUCAGUGGAUGCUUGACUAUGAUCCGAAGAGGAGAGGUUGGAUCGUACAAUGGUAACCCUCACAACACCUUUCAUUGAGUAAACAUAAAUGGACGUAGAACAUAUUUAUGCAUAUAAUUGAGGAAUUAUACAGAUUGGAUUGGGGUUGGUCCAAGUAAAACAUGAAUCCAACACCAAUAAGG